UUAUUAAUAUAAUAAAUUAUUUCCUCUUGAUAAGAAUUUAUAUAACUAAAAUAAAUUAGUAAGUACAAAAGAAGCAACAUGUGAGAAACUUUUUCUCAUGGUGCUUUUGGCAAAUAAAUUUACCUAUGAGUUCACUGUACAUUGUUUAACUUUUAUAGUUAUUAUGUUUUUCAUUGAUAAAUGUACCAGAAAUUGGGAUACAAUCUGGGUCACUUAAUAAUUCACAUACAGUAGUUUCUCCUGUACCCCGCACAGGCUGGCUGUGGUUUUGGCUAUGAGUUCCCAGAAAGGCAACAUGGCUCAUUCCAGGCCUCAGAAGCACCAGAAUCUGUUUAGCUUCAAAAAUGACAAGUUUGAUAAGAGUAUUCAGACCAAGAAAAUUAAUGCAAAACUUCAUGAUGGUGUAUGUCAGCGCUGUAAAGAAGUUCUUGAAUGCCGUGUAAAAUACAGCAAAUACAAACCAUUAUCAAAACCUAAAAAAUGUGUUAAAAGUUUACAAAAGACAGUGAAAGAUUCCUAUCACAUAAUGUGCAGAUCAUGUGCCUGUGAACUUGAAGUUUGUGCAAAAUGUGGAAAGAAAGAAGACAUUGUUAUUCCGUUUAAUGAAGAACCAGAUAAAACAGAAAAUAUUGGAAAUAAUCAAAGUUCCAACCAUAGAAGAGAAUAUAGAAGAAAUGAAGAAAGUGAUGAUGAUUUAGAUUUUGAUACUGAUUUAGAGGACACAGAAGAUGUAAACUGAAUUAAUAUCACUAUAUUCAAAGUCAGCUGUGGAAUUCUGACCAACUUUUGACUUUUGGUAUUUCCAAAGUACUGUGAAAUCCUAAUGAUACAAUCAGAAAAAGCUAUAAAAAAUAGGCAAAAUUUAUACAAGAACAAUAUAAAUUGUGUGUGAUAUUUGAAUAAUUAUAAGACUUUCAGCCAGAGUUUUCUUGUAACAAAUUUUUAAGUUGGGUAUGAUAGAAUAUCUGCCAAAAUAAAUAUCACAGUUCAUGGGAAUUAUUUAGAAGAAUGUAUCACCUAAUAUCAAACUAAGAAAGAUUCAGAAUUGAUGCUUAUAUAAAAACUAUCUCAUGUAAAAAUAAGAUGACAUUAUCAUAUUGCCAGCCUCAAAAAUUGGUCCUCGGGAUGUACCUUUUGAUAGAGUGUUCUCAAGUAAACAACUCACAUAGCAAAAGCCCCUAACUUACAUUUGCUUGUUACAAAGCAAAAACAUUUUAUUUUUAUAAUAAUGUCUAACAAGUAUAUAGCAAUUUUUCUUUAAAAGUAUUUUUA